UACGUAGGGGGCUAGCGUUGUCCGGAUUUAUUGGGCGUAAAGGGCGCGUAGGCGGCCAGCGCAAGUCAGUUGUGAAAUCUCCGGGCUUAACUCGGAACGGUCAACUGAUACUGCGCGGCUAGAGUGCAGAAGGGGCAACUGGAAUUCUCGGUGUAGCGGUGAAAUGCGUAGAUAUCGAGAGGAACACCUGCGGCGAAGGCGGGUUGCUGGGCUGACACUGACGCUGAUGCGCGAAAGCGUGGGGAGCAAACAGG
rnacentral:rRNA from 1 species